GGCCUUGACUUCCCUUUGCUGGUGGGACAGGAACAGGAGGCAUAUGCUGGGUAUAGUGGGGUGGGAAACACCUCCUGCUCUUUGCACCCCUCUGUUCCCCACUGGGUCAUCACAGUGUUAGGCCCACAGCUGGUUACCAUUUGCCGGACCCAGCUCAGGCCCAGAAAGUAGAAGGAGGCUGUCCUCUGUCCUGUGGGAGAGCUGACCUGGCCAGGCAUCAGACAACCAGGGAAGCUUCUAGGGUUCUGGGGGGAGGGCGCUAAGGCAGGACCACCAACAGGAAAGAGCCCUGGAAACCUAUCCUGCUCUUCUCCUCCUGCAGCCAGGAGUGCCACCAUGAGAGGAAUUCCAGUUAAUGAGCAAACUCCUCAGGCAAGGAAGGAAGGUGGCUCUUGGGCCCUGCAUCUCGCGGCUCAAGUACAGGAAGUAAUUGGAUUCCACUUGCCAGGCCGAGGGAAGACAACAGAUACUGAGUGGGACCAGGAGGCCUUACAUCAUUGACUUCUCCACACCCAGGUCAGCUGGGCUCGGUGCAGGGCAACAGAAAGGAGAGAGGAUAGGCCUCAGCUGUGGGCGAGUCUCAUGGUAGCCUGGGGAGAGUGACACUGUGUGGGUGUCAGCAUGGGGCCAGGAACGUGUCGCAUGCAGACGGACUUGGGGCUGAUUCUGAGGCUUGGGUUGGAGGAGUAGUAUCCAGGUCCUGUAGUGUCAAGGAUCGUGUAAAAGCGUCCCCCCAUUCUCAGUAACAGUUCCCAAGUUCACCCGGGGCCUAUCUCCUCUGCUGGAGGAGCAAUCUCACCUGGAAGAGGUGGAGGCAUGUGAGUCACGGGCCAGGCCCCUGAACUAGGGGAGGUGGGGAUGAUGGCUGUGAGCCUGAAAUGUGUCACAGGCGAGAUGAGCAU
rnacentral:lncRNA from 1 species